rnacentral:rRNA from 1 species
CACCUCCAGCAUAACAAUUAUUGGAGGCACUGCCUGCCCAGUGACUUCCGUUAAACGGCCGCGGUAUCCUGACCGUGCAAAGGUAGCAUAAUCAUUUGUUCUCUAAAUAAGGACUUGUAUGAACGGCCACACGAGGGUUUUACUGUCUCUUACUUCCAAUCAGUGAAAUUGACCUUCCCGUGAAGAGGCGGGAAUUACCAAAUAAGACGAGAAGACCCUAUGGAGCUUUAAUUAACUGACCCACAGAAUGACACUUCACUCUCCCAAGGGAAAUAAAUCAACCCUCUGUUGGGCCAACAAUUUCGGUUGGGGUGACCUCGGAAAACAAAAAAACUUCCGAGUGAUUUUAACCAAGACUGACAAGUCAAAGUUCAUAAUCACUUAGUGAUCCAAAAAUUCUUUUGAUCAACGGAACAAGUUACCCUAGGGAUAACAGCGCAAUCCUAUUUGAGAGUCCAUAUCGAUAAUAGGGUUUACGACCUCGAUGUUGGAUCAGGACAUCCCAAUGGUGCAGCCGCUAUUAAUGGUUCGUUUGUUCAACGAUUAAAGUCCU